AUUGAACGCUGGCGGCAUGCCUUACACAUGCAAGUCGAACGGUAACGGGUUAAGCCGACGAGUGGCGAACGGGUGAGUAAUAUAUCGGAACGUGCCCAGUCGUGGGGGAUAACGUAGAGAAAUUUACGCUAAUACCGCAUACGAUCCAAGGAUGAAAGCGGGGGACCUUCGGGCCUCGUGCGACUGGAGUGGCUGAUAUCAGAUUAGGUUGUUGGUGAGGUAAAAGCUCACCAAGCCGACGAUCUGUAGCUGGUUUGAGAGAACGACCAGCCACACUGGGACUGAGACACGGCCCAGACUCCUACGGGAGGCAGCAGUGGGGAAUUUUGGACAAUGGGCGAAAGCCUGAUCCAGCAAUGCCGCGUGCAGGAAGAAGGCCUUCGGGUUGUAAACUGCUUUUGUACGGAACGAAAAGGUCUGCCCUAAUACGGCGGGCUCAUGACGGUACCGUAAGAAUAAGCACCGGC
rnacentral:rRNA from 1 species